rnacentral:rRNA from 1 species
GAUGAACGCUGGCGGCGUGCCUAAUACAUGCAAGUCGAGCGAACGGACGAGAAGCUUGCUUCUCUUAUGUUAGCGGCGGACGGGUGAGUAACACGUGGAUAACCUACCUAUAAGACUGGGAUAACUUCGGGAAACCUGAGCUAAUACCGGAUAAUAUUUUGAACCGCAUGGUUCAACAGUGAAAGACGUUCUUGCUGUCACUUAUAGAUGUAUCCUCGCUGCAUUAGCUAGUUGGUAAGGUAACGGCUUACCAAGGCAACGAUGCAUAGCCGACCUGAGAGGGUGAUCGGCCACACUGGAACUGAGACACGGUCCAGACUCCUACGGGAGGCAGCAGUAGGGAAUAUUCCGCAAUGGGCGAAAGCCUGACGGAGCAACGCCGCGUGAGUGAUGAAGGUCUUCGGAUCGUAAAACUCUGUUAUUAGGGAAGAACAUAUGUGUAAGUAAAUGUGCACAUCUUGACGGUACCUAAUCAGAAAGCCACGGCUAACUACGUG